AGAGGAAACAACCACUUGCCGUUCUUCUUCGACUUCUUACCCACCGCCGCUCUCCGUCUCGCUCCUCCUCGCCCGAUGUCGGAGAAGAAGCGAUGCCGCACCGAACCGGGCCCCCCGGCGGCCUCCGCCUCGGCCUCCGCAGCCUCGAAGAAGUUGCGGCGGCCGGACUCCCACGCCCAAGGGCUGCGGAAACUUCUGAAGCCCGACGCCGAGAUCCUCGCCUCCGUCCGCGAGAUGUAUGAUGCUACCCAGUCGGCCGCCUCGUCCUCCAAGGCCCUCACCCUCUCAGACCUGAGCCUCUCUGCCGCCUGCCGCGAGGUCUCCGACUGCGACGCCGCCUCCGUGCAGCUCGCCAUCGAGCGCGCCGUCCUUGCGAUGGCCCGCUCCAUUCUCGCUGGCCGCGGCUUCUCCUUCGAUGUUCCCUCCCGCGCCGCCUCCAACCAGCUCUACGUCCCCGAGCUGGACCGCAUCGUCCUCCUCGACAAGUCCUCCUCCCGCCCCUUCGCCAGCCUCUCCACCGUCCGCAAGGCCACCAUUACUGCUAGGGUCCUCUCUCUCGUCUACGCCGUCCUUCGUCGCAACAUCCACGUCACCAAGCGCGAUCUCUUCUACACCGACGUCAAGCUCUUCCAGGACCAGUCCCAGUCCGACGCCGUCCUCGACGACGUCUCCUGCAUGCUCGGUUGCACGCGAUCCUCCCUCCACGUCGUUGCCUCCGAGAAGGGCGUCGUCGUCGGCCGCCUGGUCUUCACCGAUGACGGUGAUCGCAUUGACUGCACCAAGAUGGGCAUCGGCGGGAAGGCCAUCCCUCCAAACAUCGACCGCGUCGGCAACCUCGAGAGCGAUGCCCUCUUCAUCCUCCUCGUGGAGAAGGACGCCGCCUUCAUGCGGCUGGCUGAGGACCGCUUCUACAACAGGUUCCCCUGCAUCAUCGUCACAGCCAAGGGCCAACCGGAUGUGGCCACCAGGCUCUUCCUUAGGCGGAUGAAGACCGAGCUCAAACUGCCGGUCCUCGCGCUGGUCGACAGUGAUCCCUACGGCCUCAAGAUCCUCUCCGUGUACAUGUGUGGAUCAAAGAACAUGUCUUACGACAGUUCAAACUUGACGACGCCGGACAUCAAAUGGCUGGGUGUUCGACCGAGUGAUCUGGACAAGUACAGGGUACCGGAGCAGUGCCGUCUACCCAUGACGGAGCAGGACGUCAAGGCUGGGAAAGACUUGUUGGAGGAGGACUUCGUGAAGAGGAAUGGUGGGUGGGUCAAGGAGCUCGAUAUGAUGGUGAAGACAAGGCAAAAGGCUGAGAUACAGGCGCUCAGUUCAUUCGGCUUCCAGUAUCUCACUGAGGUGUAUUUGCCCCUCAAGAUACAGCAGAGGGAUUGGCUAUGAACUUGUCUUCUGAAACCAGCAGUGGGUAACAUAUUCAAGCAUGGUGGGUACCAAGAUGAUCGUAAAGCAUGAACUCGUACCAUUUCCAGAUACUUAAUUUAAGAUAUAUACAGUUUUAUGAAUCAAAUUAGAUGUCCUCCGGAUGGAUUAAAUCGGCCAUGAGUUGUUCCAAAGAAUGCACAUUGUUGACCAAGCCGCAGUACACCGAUUGAGAGUAGAGAGCUUCCACGCCACGGAUCUGACAAAACAAUCGUCAAUCGUUCAACGCGAUGAGCUGUCUUCUUCUUCUGUCUGCAGUGCCGUCAGAAAAGUAAGUGCAGAUGAGCUGUCUUGCAAUCUUUUUCCUCUUCUUCUUCUUCCUUCUUCUUCUUCUUCCAACCGGAAAACGAAGUGCGGUCAGCUAAUCUUUACUUGUGUUCUUUGUCUUUCCUGCUCCCCUAAUGCGGCUGGUGGAGCCCAUGGAGAUCGCAUCGGGGGGGACAAGCAAUUGAUGCUUCGGAUUCGGAUUCUCUUGUUCAACAGACAAGAACCGGUCAAUGCUGCCUAACCUUUUACUUCUUAUCCUCUUGCAUGUGCGCUCUGCUUCACCCUCUCCUGUGCUCUUCCAUGGUUUCUUGGAGCUUCUGCCGAGGUAACCAGCCAUGCAACUGAUGUUGAUGUCAAAAUGCUGGACAGACAGCUUGAGAUCAAGGAACACAUCCAUCCAUGCAAGUUUGAACUCCUUCUCAGAGACAAGCAGCCAGUGAAUAUAUAUAUAUAUAUAUAUAUAUAUAUAUAUAUAUAUAAUGAAUUCCUUUAAUACGGUCAAAAUAUCAUCACAAUAAGAAGAAUUGAAAAGCUCGUGUCCAAUUUUGCUUCCAAAACCAUACAUCAAUCAUCUAUCGACUUGAUGGACUUUAUCAGCUUAUCUCUCCAUCAAAAAAGAAAGAAGCUGAGAAGCGCACUGCCGUACAUCAUCGACAGGCAUUCCGAGGCCGACGAAGCUCGAUCCGUCCUCACGAAAACACUCUGCUUACUUGGGUUCUAAUGCAGAUUGAUCUGGUACGGAUGACGCACGUGAUGUAAGAACUACGUAUCAUGUAAAAGCUUCCUGGAUUCUGGAAAUCUACAGUCAGCAGCGUAAUCCAGGACGAGAGUUACCAGUCUCACGUGUGAACGCAUCGCAUCGACCUCGGUGAUCCACAGGAACUGAACUCUCACAUGCGCCUCUCAGGUCAUCAGUUGACUCACUCUUGGAGGUCCUCUGUUGAACCAUUCAAAGCUUCCUCACUGACCUUGCGCUGCAAGGAAGCUAAAUCCUCCAUUGCCACCGCUAUAUAUACCGUCACCACAGCUCGGGCGUCUCUCCAUCGACACCAUCUCCACGCCCUCCCAUCUGCUACUGGUCUCGUGAGCAAUGGAGUACCAAGUCCCUGAGAACAAGAGGAAGGGAAGGCCUCUGCCGAAGCGAGGCCAGGUUAAAGCCAGGAUCUUCGGAGGCCUACUCCGGGCAGUCAUGCCGAAGGCCUUCACGAACGGGGAGAAGCCCAAACAAGACGGCGAUGGCUCCUCUGCCGACGCCACGCCGACGCUGAGCGGCUAUACUUCGAGCUUCGAGGACGGUUAGCGGUACCAGAAGGCUCUUCGCCUCCUGUGUAUAGCUUCAGGUGCUUUUCCGAGCUCUUCAGGAAAGAGGAAAGAGAUGGAGCGGAAGAGGGGAGCAUCUGCGAGUCGGAUUGCGAUCCUUUUUUUGGUGUGGUUUAGAUCACCACCCCUUUUGAUCAUUCGACUCUAAUUAUAAGAGUCGAUGUCAUGUUUUCGAUGUAAACUCUUUUUGCUUGUGUAAAUGAAUGAAAUCUGUCGAGUUCUUUCUGCAA